rnacentral:pre_miRNA from 1 species
AGUGGAAUUGCAGAUUCAUAUGAUGAUUUAACUUUUUGAGGAGUAGCCAAGUUAUUUUCCAAAGUUAAGGCAUCAUUUUACAUUCCUACCAUCUAU